CCUACGGGAGGCAGCAGUGAGGAAUAUUGGUCAAUGGACGAGAGUCUGAACCAGCCAAGCAGCGUGAAGGAUGACUGCCCUAUGGGUUGUAAACUUCUUUUAUAAAGGAAUAAAACGAGGCACGUGUGCCUUUUUGCAUGUACUUUAUGAAUAAGGAUCGGCGAACUCCGUGCCAGCAGCCGCGGUAAUACGGAGGGUUCGAGCGUUAUCCGGAUUUAUUGGGUGUAAAGGGAGCGUAGAUGGGUUGUUAAGUCAGUUGAGAAAGUUUGUGGCUCAACCGUAAAAUUGCAAUUGAUACUGGCAGUCUUGAGUACAGUAGAGGUAAGCGGAAUUCGUGGUGUAGCGGUGAAAUGCUUAGAGAUCACGAAGAACCCCGAUUGCGAAGGCAGCUUACUAAACUGUGACUGACAUUGAUGCUCGAAAGUGUGGGUAGCAAACAGGAGUAGAUACCCUUGUAGUC
rnacentral:rRNA from 1 species